rnacentral:rRNA from 1 species
AACGAACGCUGGCGGCAGGCCUAACACAUGCAAGUCGAACGCUCGUAGCAAUACGGGAGUGGCAGACGGGUGAGUAACACGUGGGAACCUUCCCUAUGGUUCGGAAUAGCUCAGGGAAACUUGGGGUAAUACCGGAUAAGCCCUUCGGGGAAGGAUUUAUCGCCAUUGGAUGGGCCCGCGUCGGAUUAGCUAGUUGGUGAGGUAACGGCUCACCAAGGCAACGAUCCGUAGCUGGUCUGAGAGCACGACCAGUCACACGGGCACUGAGACACGGGCCCGACUCCUACGGGAGGCAGCAGUAAGGAAUAUUGGUCAAUGGACGCAAGUCUGAACCAGCCAUGCCGCGUGGAGGAUGAAGGUCCUCUGGA